rnacentral:misc_RNA from 1 species
UACAAAUCCAUCCACGUCUCAAUGCCUUGAGACCACGUUGAAAUGUUCCCCAGCAGCGAAGAUUAUUUUCUGUGCUGCUGGGCUGAUAAACUAGUGUUUCCUGUUGCUCAAGUGUAUCAGUGUCUUUGCUUGCAAAGGCGACCAACUCGUACAACUUAUAACAAUGGAUCUCUAGGCUCUUGCAUCG